CCUACGGGAGGCAGCAGUGGGGAAUAUUGGACAAUGGGCGAAAGCCUGAUCCAGCAAUGCCGCGUGAGUGAUGAAGGCCUUCGGGUCGUAAAGCUCUUUUACCAGGGAUGAUAACGACAGUACCUGGAGAAUAAGCUCCGGCUAACUCCGUGCCAGCAGCCGCGGUAAUACGGAGGGAGCUAGCGUUGUUCGGAAUUACUGGGCGUAAAGAGUACGUAGGCGGUUAUUCAAGUCAGAGGUGAAAGCCCGGGGCUCAACCCCGGAACUGCCUUUGAAACUAGAUAACUAGAGUCUUGGAGAGGUUAGUGGAAUUCCGAGUGUAGAGGUGAAAUUCGUAGAUAUUCGGAAGAACACCAGUGGCGAAGGCGACUAACUGGACAAGUACUGACGCUGAGGUACGAAAGCGUGGGGAGCAAACAGGAUUAGAUACCCUGGUAGUCCACGCCGUAAACGAUGAUAACUAGUUGUUCGGUCACUUGGUGACUGAGUGACGCAGCUAACGCAUUAAGUUAUCCGCCUGGGGAGUACGGUCGCAAGNUUAAAACUUAAAUGAAAUUGACGG
rnacentral:rRNA from 1 species